rnacentral:rRNA from 1 species
GAUGAACGCUGGCGGCGUGCCUAAUACAUGCAAGUCGAGCGAACGGACGAGAAGCUUGCUUCUCUGAUGUUAGCGGCGGACGGGUGAGUAACACGUGGAUAACCUACCUAUAAGACUGGGAUAACUUCGGGAAACCGGCGCUAAUACCGGAUAAUAUUUUGAACCGCAUGGUUCAAAAGUGAAAGACGGUCUUGCUGUCACUUAUAGAUGGAUCCGCGCUGCAUUAGCUAGUUGGUAAGGUCACGGCUUACCAAGGCAACGAUGCGUAGCCGACCUGAGAGGCGGAUAGGCCACACUGGAACGGGAACACGGUCCAGGCUCCUAAGGGAGGCAGCAGUAGGGAAUCUUACGCAAUGGGCGAAAGCCUGACGGAGCAACGCGGCGUGAGAGAUGAAGGUCUUGGGAUCGUAAAACUCUGUUAUUAGGGAAGAACAUAUGUGUAAGGAACUGUGCACAUCUUGACGGUACCGAAUCAGAAAGCCACGGCUAACUACGUG